AUCCAACUGGCGAGUCUCAAACAGGACGAAACACGUGUCCUGGAU
rnacentral:hammerhead_ribozyme from 1 species